UAAAUGUAGAUGAUAAUUUAUUUAGAAAUAUUUUUGAAACAUCUAUCACUGUGAAGUGCAGAGUAGUGAACAGUUUGGGAUGGCAGAAGUAUAGGAUAGUAUCAUAGGAAUGGCAGAUUGUUUAGUCUGACAGGUCAGAAGACUGUGAAGGACUUCCAAACUCUUACCUCCCUCUAUCCAACCAUUUCAACAAUUUUGCCCAGGUCCAUUUGGGUCCCUUACUUUGAAACUAAUCUUAAACCAGAUGCCCUCAAUACUUACAAAUAAUGUACCUCUGACUUCCAACUGUAAGACACUGCUAAGACUAUCAAAGUGAUAUUUUUCUUCACUUCAUAAAGCAAAAAAUUCAACAUAUUGCUUUAUCAAUAGGUUAUUUUGGUGAUAUAUUAAGGGAGACAACAUUUAAUGAUCUUGGAUGUCCCAUCAAAUCUGAUCAAGAGCUCCUAAGCCCUCAACUUGGAAACUUUUUCUAAGGUUCUUGAACCUCCUUCACGGGGUCUUUCCAAUGACAAUGGUGAGCCUGAAGAUGUGAAGAUGGAUGAUUUAAGGAUCCUUCUCUGAAAUGUCUUGGCUUUAUGGAGCCCAUAAUUUAUGGACACUGCCCACAUGAUUCCGAGAAGCUUCUAAUUUUUUUCUUCGCAUUUGCACUGGAUCCAACAAAAUGUCAAAUAGGAAUGAUAAUGGACAUUCUUGGUUUGUUCUGGAUUUUUAAAGGAAUUUUUCUAAAGCUAUUCCUAUUGAGAAUAAUGUUAAAUCUUUCAGUUAGAAUCUCAACCUGCAAAAAUAUUAAAACUAGACCCUUCUCUGCAACCAGGCACUAAAUUAAAA